rnacentral:rRNA from 1 species
UACGUAGGUGGCGAGCGUUAUCCGGAAUGAUUGGGCGUAAAGGGUGCGUAGGCGGCCUGCUAAGUCUGGAGUGAAAGGUACCGGCUCAACCGGUACAGGCUCUGGAAACUGCCAGGCUAGAGUGUCGGAGAGGUAAGUGGAAUUCCUAGUGUAGCGGUGAAAUGCGUAGAUAUUAGGAGGAACACCAGUGGCGAAGGCGGCUUACUGGACGAUGACUGACGCUGAGGCUCGAAAGCGUGGGGAGCAAACAGG